CCUAUGAACAAUUUAAAUGGCCGCAGUACUUUGACUGUGCAAAGGUAGCAUAAUCACUUGCUCCUUAAUUAGGAGCUGGAAUGAAGGGGGCGACGAAAUCUAGACUAUUUGUGAAAUAAUAUAAAUUGACAUUGUGGUCAAAAGGCCACAAUAUAUCAAAGGGACGAUAAGACCCUAUAAAACUUUACCCUUAGACCUAGAUUUGCUUAGAUAUAGUCUGCUAUAAGGGUUGAGCUGGGGCGGUAUUUAUAUAAACAAUCUUAUAGUAAAUAUUUUACAUAAAUUUAAAGAACUCUAUUAGGAAAUUUAGAAUAAGUUACUUUAGGGAUAACAGCAUAAUUCUCCCAGAGAGUACUAAUUGGCGGGAGAGCUUAUGACCUCGAUGUUGAAUUGGGGCCCCUUAUAUAAGUAGAAAUAUAUGUAGGUAGUCUGUUCGACUAUUGCACCCCC
rnacentral:rRNA from 1 species